GUAUAUUAACGUUGUUGCAGUUAAAAAGCUCGUAGUUGAAGUGUGGGUGAUCGCUGUUGUGAGACUUCGGUCUCUCGACAGUAAGUCACCCCCUUCCAGUAUCCAGUAGUGGGUAUUCAGUUACUUACUAUUGUGUGUUGGUCCUUUACUGUGAGAAAAUUAGAGUGUUCAAAGCAGGCGUUUGCUUGAAUAGAUUAGCAUGGAAUAAUAAUUGAAGGCUUUCGUGUUCGAUUUGAUUGGUUUGUUCAUGGAAGCAAGGUUAAAAGGAACAGUUGGGGGUAUUCAUAUUCACUAGUUAGAGGUGAAAUUCUCGGAUUUAUGGAAGAUGAACAAGUGCGAAAGCAUUUACCAAGGAUGUUUUCAUUAAUCAAGAACGAAAGCUAGGGGAUCGAAGAGGAUUAGAUACC
rnacentral:rRNA from 1 species